UACGUAGGCAGCGGGCGUUGUUCGGAAUUACUGGGCGUAAAGAGUGUGUAGGCGGUGCUCUAAGUUCGGUGUGAAAUCUCCCGGCUUAACUGGGAGGGUGCGCCGGAAACUGGAAUGCUCGAACGUGGGAGAGGAAAGCGGAAUUCCUGGUGUAGCGGUGAAAUGCGUAGAUAUCAGGAGGAACACCUGCGGUGUAGACGGCUUUCUGGACCAUUGUUGACGCUGAGACACGAAAGCGUGGGUAGCAAACAGG
rnacentral:rRNA from 1 species